GUACGUACUGGCAUUGUUGGUUUCUCCCUUCUGACGAACCAUGAUGUCAUUUAUUUGGUGUUGUGGGGAAUCAGGACUGUUACUUUGAAAAAAUUAGAGUGUUUAAAGCAGGCUCACGCUUGAAUACAUUAGCAUGGAAUAAUGAAAUAGGACGUUUGAUUCUAUUUUGUUGGUUUCUAGGAUCGACGUAAUGAUUAAUAGGGAUAGUUGGGGGCAUUAGUAUUCAAUUGUCAGAGGUGAAAUUCUUGGAUUUAUUGAAGACUAACUACUGCGAAAGCAUUUGCCAAGGAUGUUUUCAUUAAUCAAGAACGAAAGUUAGGGGAUCGAAGACGAUCAGAUCCCGUCGUAGUCUUAACCAUAAACUAUGCCGACUAGGGAUCGGAUGAUGUUAAUUUUUUAAUGACUCAUUCGGCGCCUUACG
rnacentral:rRNA from 1 species